rnacentral:rRNA from 1 species
AUUGAACGCUGGCGGCAGGCCUAACACAUGCAAGUCGAACGAGUGGCGGACGGGUGAGUAAUGUCUGGGAAACUGCCUGAUGGAGGGGGAUAACUACUGGAAACGGUAGCUAAUACCGCAUACCAUCGGAUGUGCCCAGAUGGGAUUAGCUAGUUGGUGAGGUAACGGCUCACCAAGGCCACGAUGCAUAGCCGACCUGAGAGGGUGAUCGGCCACAUUGGGACGGAGACACGGCCCAAACUCCUACGGGAGGCAGCAGUAGGGAAUCUUCGGCAAUGGACGAAAGCCUGAUCCAGCCAUGCCGCGUGUGUGAAGAAGGUCUUCGGAUUGUAAAGCACUUUAAGUUGGGAGGCGUUACCAACAGAAUAAGCACCGGCUAACUUCGUGCCAGCAGCCGCGGUAAUUC